ensembl:lncRNA
UGGGAGAGAGAGGUCUAGGUGGUGAAGAGAGAGAGGUCUAGGUGGUGAAGAGAGAGAGGUCUAGGUGGGGUGGUGAAGAGAGAGAGGUCUAGGUGGUGAAGAGAGAGAGGUCUAGGUGGUGAAGAGAGAGAGGUCUAGGUGGUGAAGAGAGAGAGGUCUAGGUGGUGUGGUGAAGAGAGCAGUAGGAGAGAGAGGUCUAGGUGGUGUGGUGAAGAGAGCAGUAGGAGAGAGAGGUCUAGGUGGUGAAGAGAGCAAGGUCUAGGUGGUGUGGUGAAGAGAGCAGUGGAGUGGUGGAGUUAUCAUGGUGUUUAGCAACCCUGAGGGGAAGGACAGGGCAGGAAGGAAGGCCGUAGAGUAGCAUCUCUCUUUCGAU